CCCUCAUUCUUUCUCUCAGUCGAUCCAUCUUUCUAAGCGUGCUUAGGGUUUUUCAAUUCUUUUCCUCCAUUUUCAAUCGUAGCCGCCUGUCCUUCGUCUGCAAAUCUUCGAUCUUUUAAUGCCGCUCCACAAUUAGGGUUUCUUCUUCUUCAAUGUCUCUGUUGACCCUCCAUCUCUGUGUGUCCUUAUUUUCAUUAUAAAGUUUUCGAUGGAUUAUCUGUAUUGUUAUUAGUUCGAUCUUAAUAGAUCUGUGUUGAAGGAUGUGCGAACAGAGAUCUAGGGUUAGAUCUGGCAAAAGUUUUGGAUGAUUUUGGAUCUUUUAUUGUGUUAGGAUUUUUAUUUUCAAUGUAUGAAUCUGGUUCGUCAAUCAAAGGGGUAUACUUCUCAUUUGGGAAGAUAAUCGAUUAUCUCGCAGUCAAUCAAGAUCAAAGAUGGAAAGAGACUUCAGCGAAACAGAGUAAUGGUUCCUCAAGCCCUUAAAAUUUUUCAUUCAGGUGGAAUUGCUUGAAAGAAAAUGGAGGGGUGAUUGCAGGGAAUGCUAGAUCAAAUGGAGACAAAGUAUGGAUUUGUCAUAGACAGUUCGACUUCUACAUCAAAAUGGAUCUAUUUGUUCUGGAUUGGUUCGGGUUGUCAGGGAAGAUGGGUCGGGGGUUAAUGCAGUUGAAGUUUCUUAGCAAGUUGUCGCUGGCAAGUUAAAGGCCUUGUAUAGUCUUGAUUUGAUUGUAAACCAGUUAAAUGGAAGCAUUCCUAUUGAAGUAGGAGGAGAAACUUCUCGUAUUAUCACAGAACUCUCUUUCUGGCAACAUUCCAAGUUUAGUUGCAACCUGUUCAUUCCUAACUUCUCUGUAAGAUUCUUUGAUUUAUUAUGUUUUAUAAGCUGUUAUGUUAUUUUUGAUCUAAUCUAUAUGCUUUUUGCAAGAUAUUAUCUAGAAACAGUCUUUCCGGUCAAGUUCACGUAGCAAUGGUGAAACUUGCUGAUCUGAAUAUGUAGAUUUGUCUCUUAACAAACUCACCGGAACUACCAAAGCAACCUUGCCCAUCUUGUAGCUGGCAAUUCAACCUUUUACGGUGUUGCAGUGAACAGAAGUUGUCCAGCUGUGCUUUCUAAACCAGUAGUACUCAACCCAACUCAACCGGUUCAGACGUUAACUUGGUCCCUCAGACUCUUGAUAACAAGCAAACAAUUCAUAGCAUUUCGGCUUUCGUUGCAAUUGGUCAGCAGCCACAGUCCCUUUAUCUGGUGGUGGUUUCAACAGCUCCCCUAGCACAGACACAAAUUCUGGCAAGCAGCAAGCUGGUAGUGUUUUCUGGCGAACCCGACUUCAUUAUAGGAGCACAUGAAGGGUAUAUCAAGCUCUCGGCCGUGGAGGGUUUGGCCCAGUAUAUCGAACUGUUCUGGGAGAUGGCCGAUCAGUUUCUGUCAAAAAGCUCACAGUCUCAAGCCUUGUCAAAUCUCAAGAAGAUUUCUCGAGGGAGGUUAAGAAACCGGAAAGAUUCAUCAUCUGAAUCUUGUAGCACUCGAAGGGUCGUCCACCAAAUUACAGAAAUGGUGUUGUUUUGAGUUAGGAGACGGAGAAGAAGAGAACAGGGGAGAGUGUGUUCUGCAAGUGGCAGCUCCGUUAAGGGUAAACAAAUUAGCCCAAAGGAAGUCAGCUGUUUUACUAUCAGAGCUAUAUUGAAAGAUUGUGACUAAGGAAACUGAUAGAGCCGAGUGCCAGUUUACAAUCACAGCAACACAGGUUGCGGGAACUGAACCAUGAUUUGAGGUGCCUGCGUUGGGAACAUGGAGACUCAACAAUGGCAGUGAUUAUUAACUGCAAAAUGCUGUUGAACUGCGUCGAACAACAUAAAACAAGGAUAGUCGGUUUGAUCUAGCAGGAGCUGGUUAAAUGCUGAUCGGAUGUGGUUAUAGGCAGGUGUGGCACAAUUGCCGAGGCAUUGAUCAGAGGACUUCCAAUCAUCCUCAAUAACUAUAUUCCAGGACAAAUCAUUUUAUGCAUCUUGUUUUGAUCAAAGGUUGCCCUCAUACUUUCUAUUUAUGGUAAAAACAAUUAACUUCUCUGUUUUUUUCUAAUGUACUUCCGUUAUUCUUUUUAACUUCACUGCUUAAGGGGGUAUAGAAAAGAUGAACUUGAACUUGGCCCGGUUAGUCACUUGUUCCGAACUCACACACAUGAGUGGCACAAGGCAGGUUGAGUCAAUAUGUCAAAGUAGGUUUGGUUAACGCACAAUGUCACAAAUACUUAUAAACUGGUCAAAGCAGGUUAGAUUUUUGACUUUCAUGGUGCCUUAUUAGUCUUUUUUUAUUCAUUAAAAGUACAGUACUAUUAUUAGUUUUUAUGUUAUUUUUGAAUGCGAUAU